ensembl:lncRNA LINC00595 long intergenic non-protein coding RNA 595
UUUUUUUUUUUUUUUUUUUUUUACAAAAAUGUGGACCUAGGUACAUAAUGUGUGCUAUGCAUAGGAAAAAGCCUGGAGAACUUGCACGAAAUGGUCACACUGUUUUUCAGUGAUGGUAAGAUAAAGGGUAAUUUUAAAAAUUCCUAUUCUUUUCCAGAUUGUUUCUAACACUGCGCAUGCCUUUCGGAGACAAAUUUUAAAAAUAAACAUUAUUUUUAAAAGGAAACAAACAAACAAAACCAAACAGAAGGGAGGCUGGGUUUCUUGGGGAUUUCGGGAGUGCCUGUGUCUCCACGACCUGGGCAGUGCUCUUCUGAGAGGACUGAGGGCUGGGGAGGCAGAGAGAGCAACGACAGGCUACCAGCAUUGAGAAAGAAGGCCUCAAGGCCACAUUGAGAAGGACACUACGCUCUGGAUCACAGGCUGAGCCCUGCAUUCUUGACAUUGGAGCCCUUCGGGAGUGCCAGAACGAGCAGUCCCUCUCCUGGAGGAGCCUGCCUUCCCACCACGGAGGCUAACACCACAACAGCCACAGUGAGCCACCCCUUCUGCCCAUCUUCUUACGUGUCAAGCACUGUGUUCAGUGCCUUCACAGGUAACUUCGAUAAGUCACGAUGGGCAUGCUGCGACUAAGUUGGUACUGAUAUUCUAUUGGUUUUAAAUGGGGAAACUGAGGCUCAGGAAGGUUCAGUAUUUUGCUGGAGGUCACACAGCCAGGCAAGGGCAGAGCCAAGAUUUCAGUUUCAAUCUGUCUGGCUUGGAAGACUUCCUUAUCUUGUGGCAGCAUCUCCAGAGAUCAUGGGUCAGCCUCUUCUUGCCAGAGGCGUGUGUGUGUGCACAGACACAUACACGCUGAGUGACAGAGGGACAAAAACAGUGAGCACCCACCCAGGCACUGUGCUCGAAAUUCUUCCUGCAAACCUGCAAGAUCAAAACCUAAAAAGGUGGGAAUGAAAGAAGCUCCUAACCCUCCUGGCUUUUUUCCCAAAGCCAGGAGGCAGCUCCUGAAUGGUGGAUUUUGGACUACUGGUGAGGCUGUCAGCAAAGGGCCUGGCCCAGAGAGAUGCUCAAGAGUAGGAUGAAAAGACCGUGGGCUUCUUCCUCUGCAAAAGGAAAGGUUUGGGACUGAUGGAUGCUGAAAAGUCUAGAUCUUCAUAAUCCUCAACAGCUUCACUGCCACUGCACACACAAAAUGAGUGUGCCCUAUAUUUCCAGCCCUCUGAUGAAUACGAAAAGAGCCUGAAGAACUCAUCUUCCUGGUCGCAAAGUACUUUAAAAUAUAUAAUCCCUCAAUCUUAAACAUACACAUUUUAUUGCUUUUUAUUAUACAAUAAUACAUAUUUACUAUUGAAAAUACAGAUAAGAAAAAAGAAAAUGGUUCAUAAUAAUACUACCCAGGUUUAAAAAAUACUAUUCAGCCUUAUGUUGAAGAAUCUGACUCUUUUCCUAUGCAAGCAUGUAUUUCAAGCAAAACUGGACACUUCAUGUGUACCUUGUUUUGUGAUCUUUUUUUCCCAAAUUAAUAUAUAAUCAAUAUCUUUUUGUAUCAAUCUUCAAUCCUUUCUUCUGUCACUUAUUUUUAAUGGUUAACAGUCAUCUACUAUAUAGAUAUUCUGUAAUUUAUUAAAGUGAUCCCUCAUUCUUGAA